rnacentral:rRNA from 1 species
GAUGAACGCUGGCGGCGUGCCUAAUACAUGCAAGUCGAGCGAACAGACGAGGAGCUUGCUCCUCUGACGUUAGCGGCGGACGGGUGAGUAACACGUGGAUAACCUACCUAUAAGACUGGGAUAACUUCGGGAAACCGGAGCUAAUACCGGAUAAUAUAUUGAACCGCAUGGUUCAAUAGUGAAAGACGGUUUUGCUGUCACUUAUAGAUGGAUCCGCGCCGCAUUAGCUAGUUGGUAAGGUAACGGCUUACCAAGGCAACGAUGCGUAGCCGACCUGAGAGGGUGAUCGGCCACACUGGAGCUGAGACGCGGUCCAGACUCCUACGGGAGGCAGCAGUAGGGAAUCUUCCGCAAUGGGCGAAAGCCUGACGGAGCAACGCCGCGUGAGUUAUGAAGGUCUUCGGAUCGUAAAACUCUGUUAUUAGGGAAGAACAAAUGUGUAAGUAACUAUGCACGUCUUGACGGUACCUAAUCAGAAAGCCACGGCUAACUACGUG